rnacentral:rRNA from 1 species
UCUAAUACCCGAAUAUUACCCCCGAGGGCGCAUGCCCUUGGGUGGAAAAGCUUUUGCGGUGUGGGAUGGGCCCCGCGGCCUAUCAGCUUGUUGGUGGGGUGAUGGCCUACCAAGGCGACGACGGGUAGCCGGCCUGAGAGGGUGUCCGGCCACACUGGGACUGAGAUACGGCCCAGACUCCUACGGGAGGCAGCAGUGGGGAAUAUUGCACAAUGGGCGCAAGCCUGAUGCAGCGACGCCGCGUGGGGGAUGACGGCCUUCGGGUUGUAAACCUCUUUCACCAUCGACGAAGGUCCGGGUUUUCUCGGAUUGACGGUAGGUGGAGAAGAAGCACCGGCCAACUACGUGCCAGCAGCCGCGGUAAUACGUAGGGUGCGAGCGUUGUCCGGAAUUACUGGGCGUAAAGAGCUCGUAGGUGGUUUGUCGCGUUGUUCGUGAAAUCUCACGGCUUAACUGUGAGCGUGCGGGCGAUACGGGCAGACUAGAGUACUGCAGGGGAGACUGGAAUUCCUGGUGUAGCGGUGGAAUGCGCAGAUAUCAGGAGGAACACCGGUGGCGAAGGCGGGUCUCUGGGCAGUAACUGACGCUGAGGAGCGAAAGCGUGGGGAGCGAACAGGAUUAGAUACCCUGGUAGUCCACGCCGUAAACGGUGGGUACUAGGUGUGGGUUUCCUUCCUUGGGAUCCGUGCCGUAGCUAACGCAUUAAGUACCCCGCCUGGGGAGUACGGCCGCAAGGCUAAAACUCAAAGGAAUUGACGGGGGCCCGCACAAGCGGCGGAGCAUGUGGAUUAAUUCGAUGCAACGCGAAGAACCUUACCUGGGUUUGACAUGCACAGGACGCGUCUAGAGAUAGGCGUUCCCUUGUGGCCUGUGUGC